rnacentral:rRNA from 2 species
CGGCAAAGGAGGAAACUCUGACCGAGCAACGCCGCGUGAAUGACGAAGUACUUCGGUAUGUAAAGUUCUUUUAUCAAGGAAGAAAAGCAAAUGGCGAACCAUUUGUUUGCCGGUACUUGAUGAAUAAGCCCCGGCUAAUUAUGUGCCAGCAGCCGCGGUAAGACAUAAGGGGCAAGUGUUAUCCGGAAUUAUUGGGCGUAAAGGGUGCGUAGGCGGUCUAGUAAGUCAGUGGUGUAAUGGCAACGCUUAACGUUGUCCGGCUAUUGAAACUGCUAAACUUGAGUUAGAUAGAGGCGAGUGGAAUUCCAUGUGUAGCGGUAAAAUGCGUAAAUAUAUGGAGGAACACCAGAGGCGUAGGCGGCUCGCUGGGUCUUAACUGACGCUGAGGCACGAAAGCGUGGGGAGCAAACAGGAUUAGAUACCCUGGUAGUCCACGCCGUAAACGAUGAGUACUAAGUGUCGGGUUAAACCGGUACUGAAGUUAACACAUUAAGUACUCCGCCUGAGUAGUACGCACGCAAGUAUGAAACUUAAAGGAAUUGACGGGACUCCGCACAAGCGGUGGAUCAUGUUGUUUAAUUCGAAGAUACCCGAAAAACCUUACCAGGUCUUGACAUGUUUUUGCAAAAUGAUAGUAAUAUCGUGGAGGUUACCAGAAACACAGGUGGUGCAUGGUUGUCGUCAGCUCGUGUCGUGAGAUGUUAGGUUAAGUCCUAAAACGAGCGAAACCCUUAUCGUUAGUUGCCAGCACGUUAUGGUGGGGACUUUAACGAGACUGCCAAUGAUAAAUUGGAGGAAGGUGAGGAUCACGUCAAAUCAGCAUGCCCCUUAUGACCUGGGCUACAAACGUGAUACAAUGGCUGUUACAAAGAGUAGCUGAA